rnacentral:misc_RNA from 1 species
GUUUCUUCCAAAUGAUAGACUUUAGGAAGAGAUGAUGCGUAAUGUGAAGGAUACUGUAAUUACAUGUGUUGACCAUUUAUCUUGUCAAGUUUAUCACAAUUUAGGUGCCUUGUGUUUCUGUGAUGUUCUCCAAACUGUAGUUAGCUUCCAUAGCUCUGUUUAAUUGUUGUAUGGUGCCUCUUUUCAGUGAACUCAGGUUUAGGCAUGCUACUGAAAAAGGUUUAGCUUGAUAAACAAAUGACUUUAAUAGUUGUAACUGAGACUGAAGCAACAUUAAAAAG